rnacentral:ribozyme from 1 species
CAUGGCACAGACGACCUCACUUCACAACAUCAUGUAUUAUAAGAAACGAUUGUCCAUGCAUCAUCUCGCGAACAGAUGCGCAUCGCCGU